GCCCUUAGAGUUUGAUCCUGGCUCAGGAUGAACGCUGGCGGCGUGCCUAAUACAUGCAAGUCGAACGAAUCUCUUCGGAGAUGAGUGGCGAACGGGUGAGUAAUACAUAGGUAACCUGCCCCUGUGCGGGGGAUAACAGGAGGAAACUCCUGCUAAUACCGCAUAGCCAUGAGCACCGCAUGGAGCUCAUGCCAAAUAUCCUUUCGGGGAUAGCGCAGGGAUGGACCUAUGGCGCAUUAGCUUGUUGGCGGGGCAACGGCCCACCAAGGCAACGAUGCGUAGCCGGCCUGAGAGGGCGGACGGCCACAUUGGGACUGAGACACGGCCCAGACUCCUACGGGAGGCAGCAGUAGGGAAUUUUCGGCAAUGGGGGAAACCCUGACCGAGCAACGCCGCGUGAGCGAAGAAGGCCUUCGGGUCGUAAAGCUCUGUUGUAAAGGAAGAACGGCGCAUACAGGAAAUGGUAUGCGAGUGACGGUACUUUACCAGAAAGCCACGGCUAACUACGUGCCAGCAGCCGCGGUAAUACGUAGGUGGCGAGCGUUAUCCGGAAUCAUUGGGCGUAAAGAGGGAGCAGGCGGCCGCAAGGGUCUGUGGUGAAAGACCGAAGCUAAACUUCGGUAAGCCAUGGAAACCGGGCGGCUAGAGUGCGGAAGAGGAUCGUGGAAUUCCAUGUGUAGCGGUGAAAUGCGUAGAUAUAUGGAGGAACACCAGUGGCGAAGGCGACGGUCUGGGCCGCAACUGACGCUCAUUCCCGAAAGCGUGGGGAGCAAAUAGGAUUAGAUACCCUAGUAGUCCACGCCGUAAACGAUGGUCACUAAGUGUCGGGGGUCAAACCCCGGUGCUGCAGUCAACGCAAUAAGUGACCCGCCUGAGUAGUACGUUCGCAAGAAUGAAACUCAAAGGAAUUGACGG
rnacentral:rRNA from 1 species